CACCAGCAACAUGGCUGCUGUGACAUUUUGGGCUGAAUAGACGGCAAGAAAUGGAGCUAAUUGAUCCAGUGUCUGUCUCCGUAUCUGUCUCGCUGCGUUUUUGUUCAAAUGCUCAUCCUGACAGUUUGGUUUCAGCCCUACUUGACAUGUGUCGUCCUCCUCGAUAUCUCCGUGUUUUCCCCUCUGAGCACGCUCUGUCCUAUUACUUGAUAAACCAUGCAAGAGACGCUUUAGAGGUAAUUGGAUUGGUUACCAAAGGGAAAGGACACGGAGCAGAAUUUGUCUGUGCGUGUGCAUGAAUUAUCUUUCGGGGGAAGAUGUUUGUGUGUUCUGCUCUUUUUACUGGUUGUGUGCUGCUGCUGGUCAGUGUAGCUUUGUGUUUGCAGUGGAUCGUUGUGUUUUCAGGAAGCUGUGCGGAUGAGUAAGACAUGUAAGAGAGCCCUUGAUGCUGAAGCGUGGUGAGGCUGAGGGGAGCAAUUUCACUGCAUCCCUCUGAAGGCACAUACACACCUGCAGAAAUCGUGGAGCCUUUUGGAUACAAGCUCUUCACAGGAAACAAUGAGAGGCUGCCUGCUGCCUGCAAUCUUUCUGCUGCCCUUGGUGGCUUCAGAGUCUGAGCACUGUAUAAUAAAGCGUGAACAUGAGAAGUGCAUGGAGAGGAUCGCAAUGCACAACCCAGAUGGCACAGAAUUCGGUAAGUGAGAAUUUGACUGUGGCUAUGCAUGUGUGUGUUCCC